ACUGAACGCUGGCGGCAGGCCUAACACAUGCAAGUCGAGCGGAUGAAGGGAGCUUGCUCCUGGAUUCAGCGGCGGACGGGUGAGUAAUGCCUAGGAAUCUGCCUGGUAGUGGGGGAUAACGUCCGGAAACGGGCGCUAAUACCGCAUACGUCCUGAGGGAGAAAGUGGGGGAUCUUCGGACCUCACGCUAUCAGAUGAGCCUAGGUCGGAUUAGCUAGUUGGUGGGGUAAAGGCCUACCAAGGCGACGAUCCGUAACUGGUCUGAGAGGAUGAUCAGUCACACUGGAACUGAGACACGGUCCAGACUCCUACGGGAGGCAGCAGUGGGGAAUAUUGGACAAUGUGCGAAAGCCUGAUCCAGCCAUGCCGCGUGUGUGAAGAAGGUCUUCGGAUUGUAAAGCACUUUAAGUUGGGAGGAAGGGCAGUAAGUUAAUACCUUGCUGUUUUGACGUUACCAACAGAAUAAGCACCGGCUAACUUCGUG
rnacentral:rRNA from 1 species